rnacentral:rRNA from 1 species
AGUGAACGCUGGCGGCAGGCCUAAUACAUGCAAGUCGAACGGCAGCACAGCAGAGCUUGCUCUGUGGGUGGCGAGUGGCGGACGGGUGAGGAAUACAUGGGAAUCUGCCCAGUCGUGGGGGAUAACGUAUGGAAACGUACGCUAAUACCGCAUGCGCCCUACGGGGAAGCCGGGACCGAAAGGCCUGGCGCGAUUGGAUGAGCCCAUGUUCGAUUAGCUAGUUGGCGGGGUAAAGGCCCACCAAGGCGACGAUCGAUAGCUGGUCUGAGAGGAUGAUCAGCCACACUGGAACUGAGACACGGUCCAGACUCCUACGGGAGGCAGCAGUGGGGAAUAUUGGACAAUGGGCGCAAGCCUGAUCCAGCCAUGCCGCGUGGGUGAAGAAGGCCU